UACGGGGGGAGCAAGCGUUGUUCGGAUUUACUGGGCGUAAAGGGCGUGUAGGCGGUUGGUCAAGUCUGGUGUGAAAGCCCGGGGCUUAACCCCGGAAGUGCGCUGGAAACUAGCCAGCUAGAGCGCGAGAGAGGAGGGUGGAAUUCCUGGUGUAGCGGUGAAAUGCGUAGAUAUCAGGAGGAACACCGGCGGCGAAGGCGGCCCUCUGGCUCGUUGCUGACGCUGAAACGCGAAAGCGUGGGGAGCAAACAGG
rnacentral:rRNA from 1 species